UGAGGUGUAGCUCAAUGAUAAAGCACUUUCUAGCAUAAAGGAGACCCUGGGUUCAAUUCCCAGCACAGCAA
rnacentral:tRNA from 1 species